GCGUCGCUAUGACGCCUGAAUUCGCCGCCUCCGAAGCCGAGGGUCGAAGGUUCGAAUCCUUCGUGGCGCA
rnacentral:tRNA from 1 species